rnacentral:snRNA from 1 species
AUAGCUUCUCGGCCUUUUGGCUAAGAUCAAAGUGUAGUAUCUGUUCUUAUCAGCUUAAUAUCUGAUACGCCCUCCAUCGGAGGGCAUCGAUAUUAAACUACUAAGUCAGAUAUGUCAACAACAGAAACCCCU